UACGGAGGAUCCAAGCGUUAUCCGGAUUUAUUGGGUUUAAAGGGUGCGUAGGCGGCCCUGUAAGUCAGUGGUGAAAUACUGCAGCUUAACCGUAGCAUUGCCAUUGAUACUGUAGGGCUUGAGUACAGAUGAGGUAGGCGGAAUUGAUGGUGUAGCGGUGAAAUGCAUAGAUACCAUCAAGAACACCGAUUGCGAAGGCAGCUUACUAAGCUGUAACUGACGCUGAGGCACGAAAAGCGUGGGGAUCGAACAGG
rnacentral:rRNA from 1 species